rnacentral:rRNA from 1 species
GACGAACGGUGGCGGCGUGCUUAACACAUGCAAGUCGAACGGAAAGGCCCUGCUUUUGUGGGGUGCUCGAGUGGCGAACGGGUGAGUAACACGUGAGUAACCUGCCCUUGACUUUGGGAUAACUUCAGGAAACUGGGGCUAAUACCGGAUAGGAGCUCCUGCUGCAUGGUGGGGGUUGGAAAGUUUCGGCGGUUGGGGAUGGACUCGCGGCUUAUCAGCUUGUUGGUGGGGUAGUGGCUUACCAAGGCUUUGACGGGUAGCCGGCCUGAGAGGGUGACCGGCCACAUUGGGACUGAGAUACGGCCCAGACUCCUACGGGAGGCAGCAGUGGGGAAUAUUGCACAAUGGGCGGAAGCCUGAUGCAGCAACGCCGCGUGCGGGAUGACGGCCUUCGGGUUGUAAACCGCUUUCGCCUGUGACGAAGCGUGAGUGACGGUAAUGGGUAAAGAAGCACCGGCUAACUACGC